UCGAAUGAGUGUCAAAAAACAAGGAGAAUUGGCGACUGAUCACAACCCCAAACUUAUCUCAUUGUUUGUCCUCUAGUGAUGCUCGAGACAUCAGAACGGUUGCCCCCAAAUGAGUGAAUCCGCAAUGCUACCGUGAUCUUUCGCGUUCUCCUGUUCAUUUUCAAUCAUAGUUUUACUCUUUCUCGAUUUCCGACUUUAGCCACACUUUAACUUUGACACAUCUUUUAGCCUGUAGCUUUUCACACUCUCACCAAAUCUCUCGGUGUCGAAGUGUUUACACUCAAGAAAACAGAGUAUGCAAAACCAGCUCUUAGGUUUGAAAUAUAGAUACCUUCAUAAUAAGCAACACACAACACACACUAUUUAAGGAUUUUUUUCAGUUGUAACGGGGUUGAGGUGUAAGAUGGGUAAUAGAAAC
rnacentral:lncRNA from 1 species